GGGUGCCUCCCAGUUAGGCUGCUCGGGGCUCAGGGGUCAGGGACCCAUUUGAGGAGACAGUCUGCCCGUUCUCAGAUCUCCAGCUGCUUGCUGGGAGAACCACUGCUCUCUUCAAAGCUGUCAGACAGGGACAUUUAAGUCUGCAAAAGUUACUGCUGUCUUUUUGUUUGUCUGUGCCCUGCCCCCAGAGGUGGAGCCUAUAGAGGCAGGCAGGCCUCCUUGAGCUGUGGUGGGCUCCACCCAGUUCUAGCUUCCCGGCUGCUUUGUUUACCUAAUCAAGCCUGGGCAGUGGCGGGCGCUCCUCCCUGCCGCCUUGCAGUUUGAUCUCAGACUGCUGUGCUAGCAAUCAGCGAGACUCCGUGGGCGUAGGACCCUCCGAGCCAGGUGCAGAAUAUAAUCUCGUGGUGCGCCGUUUUUUAAGCCCGUCGGAAAAGCGCAGUAUUUGGGUGGGAGUGACCCGAUUUUCCAGGUGCUGUCUGUCACCCCUUUCUUUGACUCAGAAAGGGAACUCCCUGACCCCUUGCGCUUCCCAAGUGAGGCAGUGCCUUGCCCUGCUUCGGCUCGCACACGGUGCGCGCACCCACUGACCUGCACCCACUGUCUGGCACUCCCUAGUGAGAUGAACCCGGUACCUCAGAUGAAAAUGCAGAAAUCACCCGUCUUCUGCGUCGCUCACGCUGGGAGCUGUAGACCAGAGCUGUUCCUAUUCGGCCAUCUUGGCUCCUCCGGAUAGUGUUUAUUGAACUGGAGAGAAGGAGAGAUGGUGAGAAGAAACAUCAGAAGCAGUUGAGAGACUGAGAAGUGGGUUCUCUACUGAUGAAAAGGCAUUCUUCUGGAUGGCUGUUAAAAAAUGUUUCCUAGAGUCAUGUGCCUCAUUAACAACAGUUGUCGCCUUAGAAGUCUCUCUUUGAUUUGUUGAUUGUAUAAGCUGACACAAUUUCUUGUUAUGAAUGCAUGCUGUUCUAGUCCUUCAAUAAGCCCAUUAUAUAUUUUCACCAUGUCAUCUAUAGGCACUUUUUUCUACAGUGUUAACAAUGCCAGCUUCAUUGUCACUAUUGAUCAAAAUCACCUUGGUUCAGAAUUAUUUUGGCUAUCUCACCAUCAGUCAAGGAAUGAACAACUGAAGCCUCAUUACUGAUGUUAAAAACUUCAAUAUCUACUUUUUCUAGCUCACUGAUUAAAGUCAUAUUUUUGAAAAUAUAAGGAUUUCAGGCAUCAUUUUUUCUCAUAUGACAUACAAUAUCCUUCAAAGUCACCACCUUGUUCAUCAUGAUAACUGAACAUAGUUGCAGGCCAGAGGUUGUGUCAGGCAUCCAGAACUGUGUCUCUAGUCACUGUGUUCCAAGCAUUGGCAACAAUAUAUAUAUAGCAUCCUUCAUCCUAAACUCCUUUUGGAAACCUACGCCCAUGCCUCUGUUCACUGCUGCUAGGCAUGCUGUUCAUGAAAAUGUUUUUACAUUUACUCUUCAUUGAUCUAAGGAUAUUCUGGUUACAUCACUGAAUUAAUAAAGUUACAUUUUGUGGAAGAGCACAACAUAACCAUCAUUUGUGAUGAGAAUUUCAGCUGAAGGAUGAACAGAACAGUUUUCAAGGAGUAACAAUAUCUUGCAGUAAUCAUCCAGUCCAGAUUCCCUGCAGUUAGCAUGAGCCACUGGUACACAACGUUUGUGAAACCCAUCAUAAAAGAUUUCCCUAGUGAUCCAUACAUUUUUCUUAGCAUAAUAAUGGACUGGCAAGAAAUUCAUUUCUUGAAAGCAGUGAGGAUGCAAGGUUAUGUCUAUCACAGCAAAUUUUCACUUAAGUGUGUCUGCCAUAUUAGCACAUCCCAGCAUGGUUAUUCUGUCCUCGACAUCCUUCAUUCUUGUAGGAGCUGUCUCAUCAGCUCUACUCAAUGUCUUUCUAGGGCAACAAUGCCAAAAUAGUCAUAUUUCAUCAGAAUUAUCGAUUUGUUCUGGUGUUUUAUUUUCAUCAGCAAUGACCUUAGCUAACUCAUCAAUGAAUUUCUCCACAGUUUCAUGAUCAGCAGAUGCUCUGUCACCAAAAAUCUUUGAAAAAAUUAAUGUUAUGUCUUUUUUAAAAUUUCUUCAUGCAGCCUGUUGGAUAUUUACAAUUCCCUUCAGUCUUCAGUUCAUGGUGAUAGAUUUUUGUUGCUUCAUGUCUAGCAUACGAUUAAGGUACAUGUAUUAACUGUGAUGCUGAUGGAUCCACUCUUUGAAUACACAAUUGAGAUCUUCAUUUUUAGGUUUAUGUGGUUUAAAAAAUUGUUUUUUCAUUAACUUCUCUUCAUCAAUUUCAGCAUAGAACUUUAGCAGUUUAUUCUUCUGUUUCUUCAUGUCACACAUGGUGGUCAUUCCAACACCAUACUCUUCUGAGAUGUUUCACACUUAUGCCACUGUCCAGAUUCUCCAACAGCUUGACUUUCUGUGCUAUAGAUAAACAUAAAUGCCGCCUCUUUUUGUUAUCACAGUAGUAUCUGCAGGCCUUUUUAACAUCUCAACAAUACUCUUAUACUACAGAAUAGAGAAUAAACAACAAAACAAAACAACACAAAACACAACACAACACAAAACAAAAAACAACACAACACACACAAAACAGUGAGUAAUACAUUAGGUCUUGGUCCUAUGUGGGGCAUUGGGGAACCUGCUGUUGGUAUGACCAGCCUGCAAACAUGCUGUUUUGUUACCGUUUGUGCAUGUGUUCCCUGGGGGAAUCUCACAGCUAAAGGAAGCUGAGACGGUCUUUUAUCCCUUGGAGGCACUAAACAAACUGUGUUGUGCAUCUAUAUUUUGUGACUCAUCACAUAAAGUCAGGUGUAAAAUUUUCCACUUUUGGUGUCAUGUCAGUAUUCAAGGAGUUUUGGAUUUUGGAGCACUUCAGAUUUCAGAUUUUAGAUUAGGGAUGCUUAAUCUAUAUGGUAAUUUUAAAUAUAUGAUGAUGUUUGCAUUAGUCAGAGUUUUCCAGAGAAACAUAAUGAAGAGGAUGUGUAGAUAGAUAGAUACAUAUCUAUACAGAUAUAUCUCUAUGUGUAUCUAUAAAUAGAUGUAUAUAUAUGUAUACAUAUACAUGUACACACACAGAGAUUUAUUGUUGGGACUUGGCUUUUAUGAUUAUUAUAUUAGUCCGUUUCAUACUGCUGAUAAAGACAUACCAGAGACUCAGCAAUUUACAAAAGGAAGAGGUUUAAUUUGACUCAUGUGGCUGGGGAAGAUCUCACAAUCAUCGCGGAAGGUAAAAGGCACUUCUUACAUGGUGGCAGCAAGACAGAAUAAGGAAGAUGCAAAAGUGAAAACCCCUGAUAAACCCACCAGAUCUCGUGAGACUUAUUCACUACCACAAGAACAGUAUGGGGGAAACUGCCCCCAUGAUUCAAAUUAUUUCCCACUGGGCCCCUCCCACAACACAUGGGAAUUAUGAGAGUACAAUUAAAGAUGAGAUUUGGGUGGGGGCACAGCCAAACCAUAUCAUUCUGCCACUGGCCCCUCCAAAUCUCAUGUCCUCAACAGUUCAAAAUCAAUCAUGCCUUCCCAACAGUCCCCCAAAGUCUUAACUCAUUUCAGCAUUAACUCAAAAGUCCACAGUCCAAAGUCUCAUCUGAGACAAGGCAAGUCCCUUCCACUUAUGAGCCUAUAAAAUCAAAAACAAGCUAGUUACUUCCUAGAUACAAUGUUGGUACAGGUAUUAGGUAAAUACAGCUGUUCCAAAUGGGAGAAAUUGUCCAAAACAAAGGGGUUACAGGGCCCAUGCAAAUCCAAAAUCCAGCUAGCUGGGUAGUCAAAUUUUAAAGCUCAAAAAUAUUCUCCUUUGACUCCAGGUCUCACAUCUAGGUCAUGCUGAUGCAAAAAGUGGGUUUCCAUGGUCUUGGGCAGCUCUGCCCCUGUGGCUUUGCAGGGUACAGCCUCUCUCUCAGCUGCUUUUAUGGGCUGGCAUUGGGUGUCUGUGGCUUUUCCAGGUGAACAGUGCAAGCUGUCAGUGGAUCUACCAUUCUGGGGUCUGGAGGAUGGUGGCCCUCUUCUCACAGCUCCGCUAGGUGAUGCCACAGUAGGUGAUGCUCUGUGUGUGGGGGCUCCAACCCCACAUUUCCCUUCUGCACUGCCCUAGCAGAGGUUCUUCAUGAGCACCCCGCCCCUGCAUUAAACUUCUGCCUGGGCAUCAAGGCGUUUCCGUACAUCUUCUGAAAUCUAGGUGGAGGUUCCCAAACCUAAAUUCUUGAUUUCUGUGCACCCACAGGCUCAACACCACAUGGAAGCUGCCAAGGCUUGGGGCUUCCACUCUCUGAAGCCAUGGCCCGAGCUGUGUAUUGGCUUCUUUCAGCCACGGCUGGAGCAGCUGGGAUACUGGGCACCAAGUCCCUAGGCUGCACACAGCAUGAGGACCCUGGUCCCAGCCCAUGAAACCAUUUUUUCCUCCUGGGCCUCCAGGCCUGUGAUGAGAGAGGCUGUCAUGAAGGUCUCUGACAUGGCCUGGAGACAUUUUUCCCAGGAUCUUGGGGAUUAACAUUAGACUCCUUGCUACUUAUGCAAAUUUCUGCAGCCAGCUUGAAUUUCUUCUCAAAAAAUGCUUUUAUUUUUCUUCUGCAUCAUCAGGCUGCAAAUUUUCUGAACUUUUAUGCUCUGUUUCCCUUUUAAAAUGGAAUGCUUUUAACAGUACCCAAGUCACCUCUUGCAUGUUUUUCUGCUUAGAAAUUUAUUCCACCAGAUAUCCUAAAUCAUCUCUCUCUAGUUCAAAGUUGCACAAAUCUCUAGGGCAGGGGCAAAAUACUGUCAGUCUCUUUGCUAAAACAUAACAAGAGUCACCUUUGCUCCUGUUCCCAAAAAGUUCCUCAUCUCCGUCUGAGACCACCUUAGCCUGGACCUUAUUGUUCAUACCACUAUCAGCAUUUUUGUCAAAGCCAUUCAACAAAUCACUAGGAGGUUUCAAACUUUCCCACAUUUUCCUGUCUUCUUCUGAGCCCUCCAAACUGUUUCAACCUCUGCCUGUUACCCAGUUCCAAAGUCAAUUCCACAUUUUUGGGUAUCUUUUCAGCAACACCCCACUCUACUAGUACCAAUUUACUGUAUUAGUCUGUUUUCAUGCUGCUGAUAAAGACAUACUCAAGACUGGGGAAUUUUCAAAAGAAAGAGGUUUAAUUCGACUCAGUCCUACGUGGCUGGGAAGGUCUCACAAUCAUGGCAGAGGAUGAAAGGCACUUCUUACAUGGCAGCAGCAAGAGAGAAUGAGAAAGAUGCAAAAGCAGACACCCCUGAUAAACCCAUCGGAUCUUGUAAGACUUAUUCACUACCAUGAGAACAGUAUGGGGGAAACCACCCCCAUGAUUCAAUUAUCUCCCACUGGGUCCCUCCCAUAACACAUGGGAAUUAUGGGAGCACAAUUCAAGAUGAGACUUGGGUGGGGAUACAGAGCCAAAACAAAUCAAUUAUGGAAGCUUGUUCAGUCCAAAAUCUGAUGAAGGAAGCUGGCAGGAAGGAGACUAAGGAAAAAUAUCAGAGGUCAAAUUCAACUGCAGUCUGCUGGUAAACCAGAAGGAGUCAAUGUUGAAGUUCAAGUCAAAGACUGUGUGCUGGCAGUAUUUCCUCUUGCUUGGGGGAGGUCAGCCUUUGUAUUACUCAGACCUUUAACUGAUUGAAUGAGACCCAUCCAUAUUAUGAAGGGCAAUUUGCUUUACUGAAGUUUCACUGAUUCAAAUGUAAAUCUUAUCCAAAAAUACACUCACAGACACCAAGAAUAAAGUUUAACCAAAUAACCAGGCACUGUGGCCCAGUCCAGUUGUUAUUAUUCUUAGCAGAUGCCUGCAGAACUACUUAAUGAUAAAGUAUCAUGAUACCAAUAGCUCACUUCAAAAUGAUUGAGAAUAUACACACACACGUAUAUGUAAUAUAUAUACCUUCAUAUAAACACGCACACACAUAGUAAAAUUUCAGCAAUUGUUUAUUCUGAGCACUAGGUAUAGCAAGUUAUAGCUUAAGAAUCUUUUUUUAAUCUAAACUUUUUAUUUGGUCCUUUGAAGGGAUUUUUGUUUUCGUGUUUGUUUUUGUAUGUGUACUUUAAGAUAUACCUAGAGUACAUAAUAGGCAAUAUUAAUUUUAUUUUUAACUAUUAUUCAUAAAUGGUUGAGGAUUAUAAUUCAUCUAAUUAUUUUUGGCAAUUUGCUAUUUCUUUUGGAAAAUAAAUUGCCAAAACCCAGUGUGAACUUAUCUUUUUCACAAAGUAUGAAGUUAAUGUUUUCAUAAUUUAGACUCUAGUUUAUUAGAAUAAUUUGUAACUACAUUAUAAUACAUGUUCAAAGCAUGUGCUUGUGAUUAUAUUAAUGUUAUCAAUCUUUCAAUAACUGUUUUCAUUAAUCAUAUUUCAUUUGUUAGUAUAUAUAGGAGUUAGUUACUUUUAUGCAUUGUUUAAAAGUAGCAAAAUUACAUAAUAUUUUGAAUAUUUAUUGUAUUUAUGUAUCCAGGAAUUUAACUCUUUUUAUUAUAAAUAAAUGAUGUUUAUUCCACUUUGGAUCUUUUCAC
rnacentral:lncRNA from 10 species